rnacentral:rRNA from 1 species
UGGGGAAUUUUGGACAAUGGGCGAAAGCCUGAUCCAGCAAUGCCGCGUGUGUGAAGAAGGCCUUCGGGUUGUAAAGCACUUUUGUCCGGAAAGAAAUCCUUGGCUCUAAUACAGUCGGGGGAUGACGGUACCGGAAGAAUAAGCACCGGCUAACUACGUGCCAGCAGCCGCGGUAAUACGUAGGGUGCAAGCGUUAAUCGGAAUUACUGGGCGUAAAGCGUGCGCAGGCGGUUUGCUAAGACCGAUGUGAAAUCCCCGGGCUCAACCUGGGAACUGCAUUGGUGACUGGCAGGCUAGAGUAUGGCAGAGGGGGGUAGAAUUCCACGUGUAGCAGUGAAAUGCGUAGAGAUGUGGAGGAAUACCGAUGGCGAAGGCAGCCCCCUGGGCCAAUACUGACGCUCAUGCACGAAAGCGUGGGGGAGUAAACAGGAUUAGAUACCCUGGUAGUCCACGCCCUAAAACGAUGUCAACUAGUUGUUGGGGAUUCAUUUCCUUAGUAACGUAGCUAACGCGUGAAGUUGACCGCCUGGGGAGUACGGUCGCAAGAUUAAAACUCAAAUGAAUUGACGGGGUCAUAGCUGUUUCCU